AUGUUAGUGGAGCUGUGUGGUGAGGAACUGCGCCAGGACUCCCAGGUGCCAGAUUGCACCUGUACCGCUGCAGACCUUUUAGGAGAAUUGAUAAUCACAGGACAAAAACAGCCUAGGCUUUGGAGGAGCUGAUUGCCAGCAGUAGCACCAAGAAGAACUAAUUAGGGGCAGAGUGCCAAUUAUGCCAAGUGUUGCAUGAACAUAUAAAGGAAAAUCUCUGUAAUAAAGGUGUUGCCUUCUUGUUGAAGACA
rnacentral:lncRNA from 1 species